rnacentral:piRNA from 1 species
CCUCGAUGUGCCUGGUGGAAGCAGUAAAG